rnacentral:rRNA from 1 species
GACGAACGCUGGCGGCGUGCUUAACACAUGCAAGUCGAACGGAAAGGCCUUGCUUUUGUUGUGUACUCGAGUGGCUAACGUGUGAGUAACGCGAGAGUCACCUGCCCUUUACUUUGGGAUCACUUCAGUAAACUUGGGCUACUACCGCUUAUUAGCUCCUGCUGUGUGGUGGGGUGUGGGAAGUUUCGGCGGGUGGUGUUGUACUUGCGGCUUAUCUGCCUGCUGGUGGGGUAGUGGCUGACGAAGGCUGUGACGGGUAGGCGGCCUGAGAGGGUGACCGGCGACACUGGGAAUGAGAUAAGGCCAAGAAGCCGACGGGAAGAAGGAGUGGGGAAUAUUGCACAGUGGGCGGAAGCCUGAUGCAGCAACGCCGGGUGUGGGAUGACGGCCUUCGGGUGGUAAACCGCUUGCGCCUGGGAUGAAGCGGGAGUGACGGUAAUGGGAAAAGAAGCACCGGCUAACUACGUG